UUGCCCAGUAACGGCGAGUGAAGCGGCAACAGCUCAAAUUUGAAAUCUGGCCUUCGGGUCCGAGUUGUAAUUUGUAGAGGAUGCUUUUUGGCGCGGUGCCUUCCGAGUUCCCUGGAACGGGACGCCAUAGAGGGUGAGAGCCCCGUCUGGUUGGACACCAAGCCUCUGUAAAGCUCCUUCGACGAGUCGAGUAGUUUGGGAAUGCUGCUCUAAAUGGGAGGUAUAUGUCUUCUAAAGCUAAAUAUUGGCCAGAGACCGAUAGCGCACAAGUAGAGUGAUCGAAAGAUGAAAAGCACUUUGAAAAGAGAGUUAAAUAGCACGUGAAAUUGUUGAAAGGGAAGCGAUUAUGACCAGACUUGGGCUUGGUUGAUCAUCCGGCGUUCUCGCCGGUGCACUCUUCCGGCCCAGGCCAGCAUCAGUUCGCUGCGGGGGAUAAAGGCGUCGGGAAUGUGGCUCCCUCGGGAGUGUUAUAGCCCUUCGUGCAAUGCCCUGCGGUGGACUGAGGACCGCGCUUUAUGCAAGGAUGCUGGCGUAAUGGUCAUCAUCGACCCGUCUUGAAACACGGACCAAGGAGUCGUCUUCGUAUGCGAGUGUUCGGGUGUCAAACCCCUACGCGUAAUGAAAGUGAACGCAGGUGAGAGCUUCGGCGCAUCACCGACCGAUCCUGAUGUUCUCGGAUGGAUUUGAGUAAGAGCAUACGGAGCCGGACCCGAAAGAAGGUGAACUAUGCCUGUAUAGGGUGAAGCCAGAGGAAACUCUGGUGGAGGCUCGCAGCGGUUCUGACGUGCAAAUCGAUCGUCAAAUAUGGGCAUGGGGGCGAAAGACUAAUCGAAACCUUUCUAGUAGCUGGUUCCGCGAAG
rnacentral:rRNA from 1 species